CUCUCUAAUGUUCUCCUCUCUGUUCUCCUCUCUGUAAGGUUCUCCUCUCUCUAAUGUUCUCCUCUCUCUAAUGUUCUCCUCUCUGUUCUCCUCUCUGUAAGGUUCUCCUCUCUCUAAUGUUCUCCUCUCUGUUCUCCUCUCUGUAAGGUUCUCCUCUCUCUAAUGUUCUCCUCUCUGUUCUCCUCUCUGUAAGGCUCUCCUCUCUGUAAUGUUCUCCUCUCUAUAAUGCUUUCCUCUCGUUAAUGGCCAUACAGCUUGAUCUCCUGUUCAGAAGGUCAACUUGUGAGUAAUGAUCUGUUGCUUCGCUGCUCGUCCAUUUUCCCUUGAUGGCGCUGACCAUAACUCAUCUGUCUCUCUCUCUCUCUCAUGCAACUGCAGCGAUUAUUGGAGGAUUUAUUUUAGUCUGGCCAGCACCGGACACAUGCAGCAGUGUUAUACCUCUCUUUUGGAUGAGGGUGACAUAUGGCUGGUGGACAUGGGAUCCAGAGUGACAGCUUCCUGUUUACAAGCUGCCCAGAGACUUCUGUAGUAGCAGGGGGUGUGUUAGAGAGACACUGCUUGGGCUGUUUUGAAGAGAACAGGGGACCUUGGGUACGACACAAUCUUGUUCCUUUUGGAUCUGGAGCAGAUCGAUAUGUCAGCCAUAACUCCGUUCUACCGCACCCGUGCGUAGAUGGACAAUGGAGGAUCCAUUGUUUUAUAACCCACUUAUCUGGACCAGAGUCCUGGCCUCUACCACCUUUGUGGGCCAGGCUUGUAAGAGUUGAGUUCACUAAGUUGGGUGACCUGCAAGAAGAGGCUUGGUGGAAAUCUGCCAGCAACAUGGUGGAGGUUUUCUCCAUAA
rnacentral:lncRNA from 1 species